UACAGAGGGUGCGAGCGUUAAUCGGAAUUACUGGGCGUAAAGCGCAUGUAGGUGGUUUGGCAAGUUGGAUGUGAAAGCCCUGGGCUUAACCUGGGAACUGCAUUCAAAACUACCAAGCUAGAGUAGGAUAGAGGGAAGUGGAAUUUCCGGUGUAGCGGUGAAAUGCGUAGAUAUCGGAAGGAACACCAGUGGCGAAGGCGGCUUCCUGGAUCCAUACUGACACUGAGGUGCGAAAGCGUGGGGAGCAAACAGG
rnacentral:rRNA from 1 species